CGUGAUUGCGUCACACGCCGUACGUCGCCGCGCGCGUGCGCUCCUUUCCACGUGCGAAAGCCUCUAACUCGUGGGGUUCUGGACGCCGUGGAAGCCUGACGCGCGCCGCUCUGCUCUCGCCAUGAAGCCAGGUUUCAGCCCCCGUGGGGGUGGCUUUGGUGGCCGAGGGGGCUUUGGUGACCGUGGCGGUCGAGGUGGCGGCCGAGGUGGCUUUGGUGGGGGCCGAGGUGGCUUUGGUGGAGGCCGAGGUCGUGGUGGAGGCUUCAGAGGCCGUGGACGAGGAGGAGGAGGAGAAAGAGGAGGAAGAGGUGGCGGGUUCCAGUUUGGUGGCAAUCGGGGUCGUGGUAGGGGAGGAAAAAGAGGAAAUCAGUCGGGGAAAAAUGUGAUGGUGGAACCUCACCGUCAUGAGGGUGUCUUCAUUUGUCGUGGAAAGGAAGAUGCCCUAGUCACCAAGAAUCUGGUCCCUGGAGAAUCAGUUUAUGGAGAAAAGAGAGUCUCAAUUUCGGAGGGAGAUGACAAAGUCGAGUACCGUGCCUGGAACCCCUUCCGCUCCAAGCUGGCAGCAGCAAUCCUGGGCGGUGUGGACCAAAUCCACAUCAAGCCAGGGGCCAAGGUGCUCUACCUUGGGGCUGCCUCCGGCACCACUGUCUCUCAUGUCUCUGACAUCGUAGGCCCGGAUGGUCUGGUCUAUGCAGUUGAGUUCUCUCACCGCUCUGGCCGUGACCUCAUUAACUUGGCCAAGAAGAGGACUAACAUUAUUCCUGUCAUUGAAGAUGCUCGGCACCCGCACAAAUACCGCAUGCUCAUUGCAAUGGUGGAUGUGAUCUUUGCCGAUGUGGCCCAGCCAGACCAAACCCGGAUUGUAGCCCUGAAUGCCCACACCUUCCUACGUAAUGGAGGACACUUUGUGAUUUCCAUUAAGGCUAACUGCAUUGACUCCACAGCAUCUGCCGAGGCAGUAUUUGCCUCUGAAGUGAAAAAAAUGCAACAGGAAAAUAUGAAACCCCAGGAGCAGUUGACUCUAGAGCCAUAUGAAAGAGACCACGCUGUGGUCGUGGGUGUAUACAGGUGAGCAGGGGGCCCUGUAUUCCAACAGGACAAAUGUCUCUGGCCCCAGCACCCUAGAGCCACAUGGUUCAAUACUUGUUAGGAGUGCCCCUAAAGUAGUGACAAGCUCUGAUGCCCCUUAUCUUUCUCAUAGGCCGCCCCCCAAGGUGAAGAACUGAAGGCUGGCUCUUCAUCUGGAUUGCUAGAAAUUGUGUUGCUACUGUUACACGUGUGUUUUUCUAUUAAAAGACUCAUCCUUC